rnacentral:rRNA from 1 species
UCAGUCGUAAAGUCUGUGGUAGGGAAGACAAGUACCAGAGUAACUGCUGUACCUGACGGUACUAACAGAAACACGCUAACUACGUGCAGCAGCGCGUAAUACGUAGCUGCAGCGUGUCCGGAAUUAUGGCGUAAAGCGCGCGCAGGCGGUUCUUAAGUCUGAUGUGAAAGCCACGGCUCAAACGUGGAGGGUCAUUAGAAACUGGGAACUUGAGUGCAGAAGAGGGGAGUGGAAUUCCACGUGUAGCGGUGAAAUGCGUAGAGAUGUGGAGGAACACCAGUGGCGAAGGCGACUCUCUGGUCUGUAACUGACGCUGAGGCGCGAACGCGUGGGGAGCGAACAGGAUUAGAUACCCUGGUAGUCCACGCCGUAAACGAUGAGUGCUAAGUGUUAGAGGGUUUCCGCCCUUUAGUGCUGCAGCAAACGCAUUAAGCACUCCGCCUGGGGAGUACGGUCGCAAGACUGAAACUCAAAGGAAUUGACGGGGGCCCGCACAAGCGGUGGAGCAUGUGGUUUAAUUCGAAGCAACGCGAAGAACCUUACCAGGUCUUGACAUCCUUCGCUACUUCUAGAGAUAGAAGGUUCCCCUUCGGGGGACGAAGUGACAGGUGGUGCAUGGUUGUCGUCAGCUCGUGUCGUGAGAUGUUGGGUUAAGUCCCGCAACGAGCGCAACCCUUGAUCUUAGUUGCCAGCAUUCAGUUGGGCACUCUAAGGUGACUGCCGGUGACAAACCGGAGGAAGGUGGGGAUGACGUCAAAUCAUCAUGCCCCUUAUGACCUGGGCUACACACGUGCUACAAUGGAUGGUACAAAGGGCUGCAAGACUGCGAAGUCAAGCGAAUCCCAUAAAACCAUUCUCAGUUCGGAUUGCAGGCUGCAACUCGCCUGCAUGAAGCCGGAAUC